GUCCCCGUAGCUCAGAUGGAUAGAGCGACUACCUCCUAAGUAGUAGGCCGACCGUUCAACUCGGUCCGGGGACGCCA
rnacentral:tRNA from 1 species